rnacentral:rRNA from 1 species
GACGAACGCUGGCGGCGUGCUUAACACAUGCAAGUCGAACGGAAAGGCCCUGCUUGCAGGGUGCUCGAGUGGCGAACGGGUGAGUAACACGUGGGUGAUCUGCCCCUUAUUUUGGGAUAAGCCUGGGAAACUGGGUCUAAUACUGGAUAGGACCAUGCUGUAGGUGGUGUGGUGGAAAGAUUAGUUUCGGUAAGGGAUGAGCUCGCGGCCUAUCAGCUUGUUGGUGGGGUAAUGGCCUACCAAGGCGUCGACGGGUAGCCGGCCUGAGAGGGUGGACGGCCACAUUGGGACUGAGAUACGGCCCAGACUCAUACGGGAGGCAGCAGUGGGGAAUAUUGCACAAUGGGCGCAAGCCUGAUGCAGCGACGCCGCGUGGGGGAUGACGGCCUUCGGGUUGUAAACUCCUUUCAGCCAUGACGAAGCCCUUGUGGUGACGGUAGUGGUAGAAGAAGCACCGGCUAACUACGUG